rnacentral:rRNA from 1 species
GAUGAACGCUGGCGGCGUGCCUAAUACAUGCAAGUCGAGCGAACAGACCCGGAGCUUGCUCCUCUGACGUUAGCGGCGGACGUGUGAGUAACACGUGUAUCACCUACCUAUAAUACUGAGAUAACUUCGGAACACCGGAGCUAAUACCGUAUAAUAUAUUGAUCCGCAUUGUUCAAUGGUGAAAGACGGUGUUUCUGGCAGUUGGAGAUGGAUCGGCGCCUGAUCGGCUAGUUGGUCAGGUAGCGGCUUACCAAGGCUACGACGGGUAGCCGGCCUGAGAGGGUGACCGGCCACAUUGGGACUGAGAUACGGCCCAGACUCCUAUGGGAGGCAGCAGUGGAGAAUAUUGCACAAUGGGCGGAAGCCAGAUGCAGCAACGCCGCGUGCGGGAUGACGGCCUUCGAGGUGUAAACCACUUUCGCAGGAGACGAAGCGGGAGUGACGGUAAUGGGUAAGGAAGCACCGGCUAACUACGUG